GAUGAACGCUGGCGGCGUGCCUAAUACAUGCAAGUCGAGCGAACAGACGAGGAGCUUGCUCCUCUGACGUUAGCGGCGGACGGGUGAGUAACACGUGGAUAACCUACAUAUAAGACUGGGAUAACUUCGGGAAACCGGAGAUAAUACCGGAUAACAUGUUGAACCGCAUGGUUCAACAGUGAAAGACGGUCUUGCUGUCACUUAUAGAUGGAUCCGCGCCGCAUUAGCUAGUUGGUAAGGUAACGGCUUACCAAGGCAACGAUGCGUAGCCGACCUGAGAGGGUGAUCGGCCACACUGGAACUGAGACACGGUCCAGACUCCUACGGGAGGCAGCAGUAGGGAAUCUUCCGCAAUGGGCGAAAGCCUGACGGAGCAACGCGGCGUGAGUGAAGAAGGUCUUCGGAUCGUAAAACUCUGUUAUUAGGGAAGAACAAAUGUGUAAGUAACGAUGCACGUCUUGACGGUACCUAAUCAGAAAGCCACGGCUAACUACGU
rnacentral:rRNA from 1 species